AUAAGGCACGUGUGCAUGAAUGUGACACAGCAAAGACGAGGGCAGAGCUAAACAAAACUGGAACACAUACAGUAUGAGAAAGGAGGGAGACAAAAGAAAGUAGGAAGCAGGGUGAACCACUGGAGAGAAUGGUGCCCAGAAUAGGGGCCCAGCUGAUGCAAGCAGAGGAAGUUGAAAACAGUCAUCGUGAAGAAACAGCAGAGUGAGCGCAGGACCAUGCUGGGAAGAAAGGGGCAUCCUGAAAGGCUCGCUGAUGAGGCUGUUACAGUAGCGAUCCACCCGGAUCACGUGAAGUUGCGUCGCCUAAAUUGUGCACCGAGAAUGUCUCUUGGGAGUUGUUUCCCUCUGGCUUUGUCAAAGUACCUGCUUCAUAAGGCCUGCCUCCUUGGAGCCUGGGACACGUCUGACCACCCAGAUCGUCCUCUAUGACACAGCUGUCCACUGAACCUCUGCUCGGACCUCCCCCGAUGAACCGCUCCCAUCUCCUUCCUUACUGGCUUCCCCUGACGACCCACGGAUGUCCCUGCAGUCACAGGCCUUUUGCUGGGGGCUGAGCAAGGACAGCAUCGUUCGUUCUGACUCCCCCAUCCAUCCGUCUCUCUGAAUCUGCUAAAACUUUCUUAGUCGCUCUCUAACCAUGACUCAUCUCACCAAGCAAAACGGGUGAAGCCAUGUUACCAAUUAUGUUGUCAUUUUAAGUUUACAACCCACGGAACACUUAUUCACCGGCGGAUGUCGAUGGCUACGCACGUUGAUUUAAACCCCCUUUUCCAAUUAUGUCAUUAUGGGAAUAACUGGACACAUUUUCAAUCUUAAUUAUCUUUUUAUGCUAUACCAUAGGCCAUAGGAGAGGGAUGACAGCUUUCUUUGGACUGACACCCUAGCUCGUACACAGGGUUCAAGUCACAUGAGCUGAGAUCAGUUUUAAGUUCAAAGAAUAUAUGUUUUAACUUCCUGAGGAAGCAGAGAACAUGAUUUUACCAAGUUGCCAUGUUAAUCAAACAGAGACACAGCCUUGAAGGGGAGCGAGUUCACAAUCAGAGCUCAGGCAGGUCAACAGUGUGUCCCAUGAGAACGGUGGCCAUCAGGGGUGCGCCAUUGCUUUCAGAACCUGCGUCAUUAAAAAUACAUCUUCUCUUCUUCUCAAGUGUUCCCCUUGGUUGCUCAAAAUUUCUUCACAGAAGAAAUAGAAGAAAAAGUAAUACAUAGCACACGAAAUCAAAGAACCAGGGUUUCGUUUAGAAGAAUGCAAAACUGUAUUUACUGUGAUUACGAUUCAGAAAAACUGGCAGCCUCCAAUUUCUUUUCUGCGAUUCAAUUAACCUUAUGCGUACCUUUCUGCUUUAAGGUGUUAAUUUUUUCCACUCAAGAGCAAACAAAAGGAGAAUGAAAUAAAUUACGAGAAUAUGAAAUGUAACUGAUUAAAAGAAUGGACGAGACUGGCAUCUCUUCCUCGGGGAACAUUUAUUUUAGGGUCACCUUUCAAUUCCUCUAACUGCUGUCUUCAGAAGGACUUGAAUUAAUUCUGGAUAUUAUUUUCAUUUUUUUGAAGAAAUUGGCUCACGUUUCUCACAAUCAAGGAGUUGGAACUUGCUUUUGCAUAAGAUAUGAGUGUUGCAUCUGGAAAAGAACUGCCCCAUCUCCCAAAUAAUUAGGAUAAGUUCAAGUAGAUUGUAAGUAACAGACGCUUCAAUACCCCUCACGCUUACAAGGAAAUCUUCAGAUAGAACAGUAAUACACAGUCUGCAGCCAAGGUGGUUCAAGGUCAGUUUCUCCUUCCAGACGCAUCUGCAGAUACUCAGCAUCUCCCCACCACUGGACCCUCUACAAAAAGCACAUCUAGAGAUACACAAGCUGUGGAUGAAAUGCAGCGGGUUUGCUAGGGGCACGUGUUUUAUAACAUGCACGUGUAACUGAUGGAGUUGGGACCGAUCAGGUGUGAAUAUAACGUAAAAGCUGCAGCGGGCGUGGACCCAUGUCUCCGGCACACAAGGGUUCUAAGUCACGACACUGAACACAAAAGGCUAACACAAGUGAGCAGGGCAGGACGCAGAGGCGCGCUCUUCUAUAAACAAUGCCCUGUGACCACACGCUGUCCCUCUUGGUCCCGUUUGGUCACAUGUUCCGUCUUGAAAGUGUCUGUUGCAUGCGUCUCCAGAUCUUUGUCAAAAGAAACAAGCGCAGACAGUGGUCCAGAACAGCCGCUGCUGGCAUCGCUGCGUUUGCCUGUAACCAUCCACCUCUGUCCUCGUCUCCAAGGCCAGGCACCCCCACCCGUCCUCCCCUGGUCUGUCAUCAAGCCGCCUUUGCCUUCCUCUUGAUUAAAGUUCUGUGUGUGCCGCAGCUUACUUUAUCUAUUAGGAAUUUCAUAUGCCCUUUCUGUGCAAGGAUCUUUAAUUAGGUUUUUUUUUUUUUUUGCUUAGUGUU